UGUCCAUUCUGUAUUGGUUGAAUUUUGUAUCCGGGACUAAAAAGCUACACCAGAAGUCUGAAGUGGCUGUGAAAUCUGAACACGUACUUAAAUUCCUGUACGAUCCUGGGCUGAGACACGUCCAGGGAAGGGUGCAAGCCAGCAUGAGGGAUAGAAGCUAUCAUAUUAACAUCACACUUGGGGAUAAUUACACUGUGGAAGACAGUAUCUGUGACUGUGUUAAUGGCCAGGAUAAGUGUCACCACAAAGCUUCUCUUCUGUUAUAUGGGUACAAGAAUGUUAGUAAGACGGAUGUAAGAGAAUCUUGGAUAAAACACCCAAAGAGUGGACCCCCAAAGAAAACGAUGACCAUGGAA